rnacentral:rRNA from 1 species
GACGAACCGAGCGAACGUUAUUCGGAAUCACUGGGCUUAAAGGGCGCGUAGGCGGGCCAUCAAGUCAGGGGUGAAAGCCCCCAGCUCAACUGGGGAAGUGCCUUUGAUACUGAUGGCCUUGAGGGAGGUAGGGGCGUGCGGAACUUCCGGUGGAGCGGUGAAAUGCGUAGAGAUCGGAAGGAACACCGGUGGCGAAAGCGGCGCGCUGGACCUCUUCUGACGAUGAGGCGCGAAAGACAGGGGAGCAAACGGG